rnacentral:tRNA from 6 species
GCGCCACUAGUGUAAUGGAUAGCACGUAAGAUUCCGGUUCUUGAGAUGGGGGUUCGAUUCCCUCGUGGCGCA